CAGCGGAGCGGAGUGCUUGCACUCUGCUGCCGGCGACCGGCGCACGGGUGAGUAACACGUAUGCAACCUGCCCCGGAGCGGGGAUAACCCGGCGAAAGCCGGACUAAUACCGCGUAUAUAUCCAGGAGGCAUCUUCUGGAUAGGAAAGGACUUCGGUCCGCUCCGGGAUGGGCAUGCGGCGCAUUAGGCAGACGGCGGGGUAACCGGCCCACCGUACCGACGAUGCGUAGGGGUUCUGAGAGGAAGGCCCCCACACUGGUACUGAGACACGGACCAGAUUCC
rnacentral:rRNA from 1 species